UACGUAGGGUGCGAGCGUUGUCCGGAUUUAUUGGGCGUAAAGAGCUCGUAGGCGGUUUGUCGCGUCUGCUGUGAAAACCUAAGGCUCAACCUUGGGCUUGCAGUGGGUACGGGCAGACUAGAGUGCGGUAGGGGUGACUGGAAUUCCUGGUGUAGCGGUGGAAUGCGCAGAUAUCAGGAGGAACACCGAUGGCGAAGGCAGGUCACUGGGCCGCAACUGACGCUGAGGAGCGAAAGCAUGGGGAGCGAACAGG
rnacentral:rRNA from 1 species